AAAGAGAAAUAUUGUGUUCUGGAAAUUCAUCCGAGCAUUUUUUUCCAAUAUCGUCCUUAUGCUCUUCUGAUCCUCUCUUGAACUGUUGGUCUAAAGCAGCUGACGCUUCCACCAGCAACCAGAGUCAUCCUGUCCACUACUGUGGGAACAGAGGGUUUCCAUUUGGAACUGCAGACUGAGCCUAAAGUCUGAUGGCCCUUUGGUGCCAGGAUAGCAGAAAUGAUUCUACCAAUGCCAGCGGCAUGCACCAGAAACCAGGAAGGAAUCAUACAGCUGAGCCAACCUGCUGUACUUUAAAACACUUGACCACAAUUCUCCAGUGGAUACUCAACCCUGGCUUCAAACUCCCUUGUCUCUCCGCUCCUGUCCUAGGGAUGAGGGAGCAGAAGGCAAGCUUAGGACAAAGCAGAAACUGGCACCCUACACC